rnacentral:rRNA from 1 species
ACUCAAAGGAAUUGACGGGGACCCGCACAAGCGGUGGAGCAUGUGGUUUAAUUCGAGGCUACGCGAAGAACCUUACCCAGGUUUGAAAUGUAGUUGACAUCCCAUGAAAGUGGGCUUUCUCGCAAGAGACAAUUACACAGGUGCUGCAUGGCUGUCGUCAGCUCGUGCUGUGAAGUGUUGGGUUAAGUCCCGCAACGAGCGCAACCUUUGUCUUUAGUUGCCAUCAGGUCAAGCUGGGCACUCUAGAGAGACUGCCGGUGAUAAACUGGAGGAAGGAGGAGACGACGUCAAGUCAGUAUGGCCCUUAUACCUGGGGCUACACACGUGCUACAAUGGCCGGUACAAAGGGGUGCGAGACCGCAAGGUGGAGCAAAUCCCAAAAAGCCGGCCCCAGUUCAGAUUAGAGGCUGCAACUCGCCUCUAUGAAGUCGGAAUCGCUAGUAACGGUAGAUCAGCAUCGCUACCGUGAAUACGUUCCCGGGUCUUGUACACACCGCCCGU